GCCCCAGUAGCUCAACGGAUAGAGCAACAGACUUCUAAUCUGUAGGUUGGGGGUUCGAUUCCCUCCUGGGGUA
rnacentral:tRNA from 2 species